GGCGCGAUGGCAGAAUGGCUAUGCAGCGGAUUGCAAAUCCGUGGAUCUCGGUUCGACUCCGGGUCGCGCCUCCA
rnacentral:tRNA from 1 species